UGCAACCCAAGCUGUCCAUCAUGUACUGGGUCAUCUGACACACUGAUAAAAUCCCAUUACCAACUGGAAAUGGCUUAUGUGGGACUAGCUCCUAACCAGGAACAUCAUUGCUUCAACUGAUUCAUCAGCAGAAGAGUCUGUGCUGGCAACACAGGAACUGUGAUGGAUUCAAUCACUUAGGCUUUCCAUUAUCAAUGCAGACCCAGCCCCUGGGUGCACAGGGUUAUCAGUGACCACCCCUGAAUGCCGCAACUGACCAGACUCCAGGGACACCAUGGACUACUUAGUUGCAGACUGAUGACUUUGGACCUCUUCCGUUAUGGAAAGGGCAGUGAUUUCUUCUCCCUGAAACGGGCUCAUGUCUGACUUUGGAAUUGACCUCUCUGCCUGUAGAUCAUCAUGGCAUGCUCUACAAAAUUGCUUCUGACCACAGAAUUCACUUUACAGUGAAAGAGGGAAAGCAAUGGGUGAUACCCUUGUCAAUGGAUCCUGUCACCCAGAAGCAGUCAUCUGUAUUCAGCUGUGACAUGAUUUAUUGAAGAUUUCAUUUCAGGAGUGAGAGACGAUCAUACCUACGGAGAUUGAAAUAUUGUCCUUUAAGAUGCUUGUUUCUUCUGAACUAGGGAACAUCAUGUGGUGCUGUUUCUCCCACAGCCAGACUAAACAGGUCUGGAGGAAGGGGAAGUAGGCACGGUGCAACUUCCAUCUUACUUAAUGAAUCUCGCUUUCUCCAACUUUUUCUUCCACCGAUUAGCAAUUUUAUUCCCAGGAAAGGAAGGUUGCACCAUUGAGGCAGCUGGCCAUUGGGGUGGCUCCCUUUGGAAAGGGGAUAUAAAGUGUUUGUAUGAGUGAUGGUUCCAUUAAAGCAGACAUUUUUUAAAAACGUGAAA
rnacentral:lncRNA from 1 species